CGUGAGUAACUGCCCCUGACUCUGGGAUAAGCGUUGGAAACGACGUCUAAUACCGGAUAUGACUUACGGACGCAUGUUCUGUGGGUGGAAAGAUUUUUCGAUUGGGGAUGGACUCGCGGCCUAUCAGCUUGUUGGUGAGGUAAUGGCUCACCAAGGCGACGACGGGUAGCCGGCCUGAGAGGGUGACCGGCCACACUGGGACUGAGACACGGCCCAGACUCCUACGGGAGGCAGCAGUGGGGAAUAUUGCACAAUGGGCGCAAGCCUGAUGCAGCAACGCCGCGUGAGGGACGACGGCCUUCGGGUUGUAAACCUCUUUUGGCAGGGAAGAAGCGAAAGUGACGGUACCUGCAGAAAAAGCACCGGCUAACUACGUGCCAGCAGCCGCGGUAAUACGUAGGGUGCAAGCGUUGUCCGGAAUUAUUGGGCGUAAAGAGCUCGUAGGCGGUUUGUCGCGUCUGCUGUGAAAACGCGAGGCUCAACCUCGCGCCUGCAGUGGGUACGGGCAGACUAGAGUGCGGUAGGGGAGAUUGGAAUUCCUGGUGUAGCGGUGGAAUGCGCAGAUAUCAGGAGGAACACCGAUGGCGAAGGCAGAUCUCUGG
rnacentral:rRNA from 1 species